rnacentral:lncRNA from 1 species
GGGUCUCGAGAUCAAGAGACCCACCAGCUGUCCCUGACGGAAUGGAGGCUCUGGCAGAACCGCCCUUUUCCUACCUUCCUGGUGGACCACUCGGAUCGUUGCCGCCACUUUGUCAGCGUGAUGGAACUGAUCGAGGAGAUGAGGCAGGAAGAGGACAACUGCCGCUAUGAACAAAAACUGCAGCCCUUCUUCCACUGGGAAGACCUGGAGGCCUCAGAUCCGCAGAGGAGCAAACGCAGCCCUGAGGGUGGAGCUCCUCAAAGACCUUCCGCGGGCAAAGGGUCUCUGUGGGCUGGAGCCUCCAGAGCGAAAAGCCGCUCGUCGUCCCCAGAGGCCCUCGAUGCAGAAACGGUUUCUCUCUUCAAAGCCACCAGCUUCAGAUCUGCGAGAAGGCCACCGGCACCGGGCGUAGAAACCACAGGCCAGCAAGAUCCCGGCCCUCCUCCAGCCCUCUUCUCGGCGAGCCGAUCGCCAUCUGUUGAGGGCUCCGGACGCGAAAGGCGGCCAAAAGAAAACGGAGAAGACCCCGAGGACUCUCUCAGCAGAAGCGCGAGGCCGGAAAGGACUCCACUGAGAGAAUGUCAGCCCGCCCUCCAACAGAGUGGAUGCGGCACGGAUCCUGUUUCCCCCAGCUGGGCAGAAGACGGCUCGCUUCAGUCCUCUUCUCUCUUUUACUUCCCAGCCGGCGAGACGGGUUCGCGGGUCCCUGCUGAGACCGAGACGGAGGAGGACCCGGCGUGGAGGGAGCGCCUCCUGACGAGCGUGACAAAGCUUCUGUCACGGUCACCCCCAUCCUUGGAGGAAAUCCUGCCAUUUGAGAAGAGAGAAGGCAAAGGGGAGCCCUUCAGGGCCGUGGGAGAGCGUGCUUUCCGUGUGACGGCAGGCCCCUUGGCUCCAGAAGAGAGCUCGGGCGCUCCGCCUCAGGGCCCCCCAGAAUUCACCAGCACCCACGAACGGCGGACCUCCAGCCAUCCUUUGGAUGCCAAGUCCACACCGGAGGCUUCCCUGAGCAAGAUCAGCGAUCUCAGCUGGGAUGAGCUUUUUGAGGAUGACAGCCAAGAACAGAUUGGGGUCCACGGAGAAAGUCCGCCAGUGGCCCGUCAGGGUCUCUACUUAGUAGACCCUUUGGGGAAGGAGGAUGGCGGAGGGGGUCCAAGAGCUUGGGAAAGGCUUGGGGGAGAGACGAGCGCGGGUGAAAAGGCAGCGCCUUUGUCAGAGAGGGAUUGUUUCCCUGAAGCCGACCCUGUGUUCCCAGACGGACAAGGGGGCAGGCCGGCUGUGUCCCCGGACGUGUGUCACCCUGGGGGGAACCCAGAAGAGACUGGUGGAAGUCAGCCUUCAGACGGCCUUGCUGCCGCCAAGCGGGCAACUCCCACCCCUUCAUGGACGGUUCAGAGGGAUGGGCCUCUGAGGAGGGCAGCGGGUGAAACGAGCCUCCCGCCUCUCCAAGAGCUGUUUGACGCCUCCCAGGAUUUGUUUUCGGUCAACUUUGAUCUUGGGUUUUCCCUUCAGGAGUCGGAGGAAGAGACGUCGGGGCAAGCAAGCCCCGUGAAAGGCGGAAACCGCCACCGCCACGGAGCCACCCCUCCGCCCGUGAGCCCUGGUCGGUCUCUCCCGAUGGGGACAGGAAGGACCUCUCCCUCCACCUCAAGCAGUGAAUGUGUGGAUGGGACCAAGUUUUCUACUCCUUUGCCCUUGAAAAGCCACCAUUCUGGUCCGUCGGCCGCUGGACAUGUCAUCCCUGGGGUUUCUCCUCUGACACCGGCCGGAGAGAAACGGUGCCGGACCCCGGACUCGGCACAGUCUGUCUUUGCUACACCCACAGGGAGAUGGAAGACGCCACGGAGAGGAGGGUCCCGAGGAGGCUCGCUCGGUUCCCUCGCCGGACAGCGGGAGGAGGGCCCCCAGAGGCCGCCCCUCCCCGGCAGAGCCAGCGGCAGCCUACUCAAAGUCCUGGCCAACUCGGCCUUCGAAACAGAGGCUCCAGCAUCACACGAGGCUUGGAAGACCGGCCGCAAUGGUGGAAAUGGCUCUCACGUUCUGCUUUCCGCUGGAGGAGCCAGCAGCGAAAGUGAAGAAGAAAUUAUUUUUCUCAGGAAAAAUAAGAGGAAAAGAAACAUCUUGACAUCCCCAGAGGUGAGCCAUUCAGUUAAAAUUAAAUGCCUCUAG